CCUGCCACUGGAGGCAUUGCAGGUGUGGCUGUUGUAUCACAUAUGCAUCAACUGGUAGCAACAGAGAUGAGUUUGUGUCUGUGUUCAGUGUUCUGACCUACAAACAUCUGCAUUUGUAGCCUAACAUU